UUCUCAAAGCUCUUUGGGUUUUCAGGAACACGUUUUCCGUGUCUUACACUAAUCGUUGAGCUGUGUUUGGAUCAAGACUCACAGGAGUGUAGGACAUCAUGUCCUUCACCUUGUUCCAGAUGUUGAAGGUCAGGUGGCCCAGGUGUUCUGUCACCUCGAUCAAUCUCUCCAAGCUCAUGGCACAAGCACCCACACUGCUGCUGGACCCGUGUCCACUGCACCUUUGUAUUUCUGAAAGAAACAAUAUAAAAUGUGUGCCAAGCUGCUCCAAUGUGACAUAAACAGUGUCUGAAAGAGACCUCUUUCUCCUCAGAUCUUCAAGACAUCUGAGUCUUUUCUUCCUCUUCCUCCCUCAGUCCUAAUUCUUGGAGAAACUGAUGAAAUCUCUUAAACUCCUCCCUUAUCUGUCUUAGUGUUUUGAAACUGGAAUCUAAUGUGAUCUGCUGUUAGAUCAAAGUUAACGUCACUGAAACCUUUACCUUCAGGGCUUUGCAGAGCUUCCUCCUUCGAUGGGACCGAACCUGUGGUCACUGUGUGUCUCUUCAUCUCUCCAGGCCACAGAUCAUGUGCUGUUGGUCCAGACAGAAGAGCCUCAGUGAGAUCCCAGGGAGGUUCUCGGGUCUCUGGUGGUGUCGCUCCCUCUGGUACAAUGAUACUGACUCAGGUGCUGUUGUCAUAGUCAGCGUUCCAGAUAUCCCAGGACCCAGAUUCCUUAGGAGGAUAAUGUUUUCCUCGACAGGAGCGAUGGGCAAACACCAGAACCUUUCCCGCGUCUGCCGCAGUCCUGACCCCAGCGCCUGCUCCCUGCUGUGGCUGUCGGAGCUUUUCUUCUUUAACCACAAAACCUCUCCAGAAGUUACUGUGGAGCGCUAAGCCUGGCUCAAAUCCUCGCAUGGCAUUUAGCGAGUGUGUGCCAGCACCAGGCUUCCUGCCAGGCACUGGACCCAUGCUACUGUACAGGGAGGGGUCCACUAUUAUGACAAUAUAGCAGUGAUCUGAGCCAAAGGUUCCCUGGCAGAGCUCCACGCUGGCACCUGCAGCACAGGCCUCACACAGUUCUGAAGAAUGGACCGGCACCGGCACCGGUGCUGGCAGGGCCGUCUUCACAACAAUUGGGCUUUUGACACUCAGCACAUCCCAAAUGUAGAGGAUCAGUUCUGGCACCGACAGCGAUGAAAGAGACCAAAUCACC
rnacentral:lncRNA from 1 species